rnacentral:rRNA from 1 species
UGGACCCGUAAUCCGGGUUGCGGACAGUGUCUGGUGGGUAGUUUGACUGGGGCGGUCUCCUCCUAAAGAGUAACGGAGGAGCACGAAGGUUGGCUAAUCCUGGUCGGACAUCAGGAGGUUAGUGCAAUGGCAUAAGCCAGCUUGACUGCGAGCGUGACGGCGCGAGCAGGUGCGAAAGCAGGUCAUAGUGAUCCGGUGGUUCUGAAUGGAAGGGCCAUCGCUCAACGGAUAAAAGGUACUCCGGGGAUAACAGGCUGAUACCGCCCAAGAGUUCAUAUCGACGGCGGUGUUUGGCACCUCGAUGUCGGCUCAUCACAUCCUGGGGCUGAAGUAGGUCCCAAGGGUAUGGCUGUUCGCCAUUUAAAGUGGUACGCGAGCUGGGUUUAGAACGUCGUGAGACAGUUCGGUCCCUAUCUGCCGUGGGCGCUGGAGAACUGAGGGGGGCUGCUCCUAGUACGAGAGGACCGGAGUGGACGCAUCACUGGUGUUCGGGUUGUCAUGCCAAUGGCACUGCCCGGUAGCUAAAUGCGGAAGAGA